rnacentral:other from 1 species
CGCGCCCGGCCGUGUUCGAGGCGUUGAUCAACUGCUCUUUGCCUACCUUAAUUUGACGGGAGACGUGAGGGAUGAAGGAUGCUCAGCCGUAAACCGGACCGCAGAGUUUGUUCUGAUGUUGCCCACUUGGACUUACCAAGGACAGAGAGCCUUUUGGCGUACGGCACUGUGGUGGGGCGCGU